GAACCGGACGAACGUUAUUCGGAAUCACUGGGGCUUAAAGAGUCCGUAGGCGGCUUGGUAGGUGAGAUGUGAAAUCCCACGGCUCAACCGUGGGAACUGCGUUUCAAACCAUCAGGCUCGAGGGAGAUAGAGGUGCGUGGAACAGAUGGUGGAGCGGUGAAAUGCGUUGAUAUCAUCUGGAACACCGGUGGCGAAAGCGGCGCACUGGGUCUCUUCUGACGCUGAGGGACGAAAGCUAGGGUAGCGAACGGGAUUAGAUACCCCGGUAGUCCUAGCUGUAGACGAUGAGCACUAGCUUGAGGGGACUUCCACAUCCUCUUGGGCGUAGCGAAAGUGUUAAGUGCUCCGCCUGGGGAGUAUGGUCGCAAAGGCUG
rnacentral:rRNA from 1 species